rnacentral:rRNA from 1 species
GACGAACGCUGGCGGCGUGCUUAACACAUGCAAGUCGAGCGGAAAGGCCUGCUUUCCCUUGUGGAUUGCGGGUACUCGAGUGGCGAACGGGUGAGUAACACGUGAGUGAUCUGCCCCCAACUUGGGUAUAAGCCUGGGAAACUGGGUCUAAUUCCCGAUAGGACUGCAGGGUGGUGCCUGUGGUGGAAAACGAUUUUCUAGUGGUUGGGGAUGAGCUCGCGGCCUAUCAGCUUGUUGGUGGGGUAAUGGCCUACCAAGGCGGCGACGGGUAGCCGGCCUGAGAGGGUGGACGGCCACAUUGGGACUGAGAUACGGCCCAGACUCCUACGGGAGGCAGCAGGGGGGAAUAUUGCACAAUGGGCGGAAGCCUGAUGCAGCGACGCCGCGUGGGGGAUGACGGCCUUCGGGUUGUAAACUCCUUUCGACCGCGAGGAAGCCACCUGGUUGGAAGGGUGGUGACGUUAGUGGUAGAAGAAGCACCGGCUAACUACGUG